rnacentral:rRNA from 1 species
GAGUUGCGUAGGUGGUUUGUUAAGUAGGUAGUGAAAUCUGACGGCUCAACCGUACAGGCUAUUACCUAAACUGGCAAACUCGAGAAUGGUAGAGGUAACUGGAAUUUCUUGUGUAGGAGUGAAAUCCGUAGAUAUAAGAAGGAACACCAAUGGCGUAGGCAGGUUACUGGACCAUUUCUGACACUAAGGCACGAAAGCGUGGGGAGCGAACGGGAUUAGAUACCCCGGUAGUCCACGCCGUAAACGAUGGAUACUAGCUGUUGGAGGUAUCGACCCCUUCAGUAGCGAAGCUAACGCGUUAAGUAUCCCGCCUGUGGAGUACGGUCGCAAGACUAAAACAUAAAGGAAUUGACGGGGACCCGCACAAGCGGUGGAUUGUGUUCUUUAAUUCGAUGAUAAACGAAGAACCUUACCAGGGUUUGACAUCCCUUGAAUUUUGUCGAAAGACGAGAGUGCUUUAUUGAACAAGGUGACAGGUGAUGCAUGGCCGUCGUCAGCUCGUGUCGUGAGAUGUUUGGUUAAGUCCAUCAACGAGCGCAACCCUUGCAACUAGUUGGAUUUUUCUAGUUGGACUGCCCCGGCAACGGGGAGGAAGGAGGGGAUGAUGUCAGGUCAGUAUUUCCCUUACAUCCUGGGCUAGAAACGCAAUACAAUGGCUAGUACAAUGCGCAGCGAAGCCGCGAGGUGAAGCAAAUCGCAUCAAAGCUAGUCCCAGUUCGGAUUAGAGGCUGAAACUCGCCUCUAUGAAGUCGGAAUCG